CCCAGCUGCCCCUCUGUGGUGAUGGAAGAACAGUGAGACAAAUUUGAGAGAGUGGCAGCGUGACCUAGAGCACAGGGUCGCCACACUCACUCACUCAAAUUUUGCCUGACCACCCCUCCAUCGUCGGCCAUGUAGAAGGAAAGACCUUAAGGCAGGACCCUCGCUCCUGGGGCAGAGGGUUGCGGGGGAACAGCUGUGGCUUGGAAACCAGGAGCAUCAGAGAAGCUGGAUCCAUGGAGAAAUCCCCAGGGAACUGUGUCUAGGGCAGGCAUCAUCAGAAGCUGGGGGACUGCAUAUGGAAUAGGGUGUGGCUGGAGGAGAUUGCAAGUGGGAGUUGGCCUGUGCAUGUGGAAACAGCAGCGACUGAGCAGGAAAUCCUGGCAGACAGGCUCCAGUGAGAGAAACCGCUCAUUGCAAACCUGUAAACUCCUGUUUGCUUGGAAUAUUCUCCUGUGCAAGUCAUCGACCCUUCACACUGCAACAUCUGCUAUGGCAAAAAGAAACAUUCCUUCAGUGACAACACGCCGCGAUGACGUCCCAAGAUGGAAGGAGCCUGCUACCAGUUGAACAAUACCACCUGUUAAUAAACUUUGAAAUUUCA